GCACGUGAAACCUGCUUUUCAAUAUAUUGCUUCACCUCUUCUUCACUAUGAGGAUAAUGCAUGAUUAAACCAA
rnacentral:tRNA from 1 species